GAUGAACGCUGGCGGCGUGCCUAAUACAUGCAAGUCGAGCGAACAGACGAGGAGCUUGCUCCUCUGACGUUAGCGGCGGACGGGUGAGUAACACGUGGAUAACCUACCUAUAAGACUGGGAUAACUUCGGGAAACCGGAGCUAAUACCGGAUAAUAUAUUGAACCGCAUGGUUCAAUAGUGAAAGACGGUUUUGCUGUCACUUAUAGAUGUAUCCGCGCCGCAUUAGCUAGUUGGUAAGGUAACGGCUUACCAAGGCGACGAUGCGUAGCCGACCUGAGAGGGUGCUCCGCCACACUGGAACUGAGACACGGUCCAGACUCCUACGGGAGGCAGCAGUAGGGAAUCCUCCGCAAUGGGCGAAAGCCUGACGGAGCAACGCCGCGUGAGUGAUGAAGGUCUUCGGAUCGUAAAACUCUGUUAUUAGGGAAGAACAAAUGUGUAAGUAACUAUGCACGUCUUGACGGUACCUAAUCAGAAAGCCACGGCUAACUACGUG
rnacentral:rRNA from 1 species